rnacentral:rRNA from 1 species
CGAAGCGGGAUGAGCCCAGAAUGGUAAGCUCCCGACAGGGCGCAUUGUAAUCUGGAGACGUGCCUCGUGCAGUGCGGCUGGGCUUCAGGUCUGCUGGAAAGCAGCAUCGUAGAGGGUGAAAAUCCCGUGCUUGGUCUGGCUAUAGCGCUGUUUGGAGGGGCACGCUCGACGAGUCGCGUUGUUUGGGAAUGCAGCGCAAAGAAGGGUGGUAAACGCCAUCCAAGGCUAAAUAUUGGGGAGAGACCGAUAGCGAACAAGUACCGUGAGGGAAAGAUGAAAAGAACUUUGGAAAGAGAGUUAAACAGUACGUGAAAUUGCCAAAAGGGAAGCGCUGGCAGUCAGUACCGCAAGGUGUUGCCCUGUCUUUUGGUUUUUUUUUAGCCAGGAUCAAGGGGUGCACGUGGGGCUCACGUCGGUUUGCGGCUGGGGGAGAAGUCUGUGUUGGAAGGUGGCUCGUGCUUUUUGUGCGAGUGUUUAUAGCCACGCAGCGGAUACCCUGCCGUUUUGCAGACCGAGGAAUACUUUUCUUAAAGUAGGAUGUGGGCUUAAUGGCUUUCAGCGGCCCGUCUUGAAC